CCCAGUGCUUACGCACUGGGCUUUAUGAUGUCGCCCGCUUGCGCGGGCU
rnacentral:sRNA from 1 species